GUGAGGAAUUUUCCGCAAUGGGCGAAAGCCUGACGGAGCAAUGCCGCGUGAAGGAUGAAGGCCUAUGGGUUGUAAACUUCUUUUCUCAGAAAAGAAUUAUGACGGUAUCUGAGGAAUAAGCAUCGGCUAACUCUGUGCCAGCAGCCGCGGUAAGACAGAGGAUGCAAGCGUUAUCCGGAAUGAUUGGGCGUAAAGUGUCUGUAGGUUGUUUAAAAAGUAUUCUGUCAAAGAUUAGGGCUUAACCCUAGAUAGGCAGAAUAAACUUUUAAGCUAGAGUUUGGUAGAGGCAGAGGGAAUUCCCGGUGGAGCGGUGAAAUGCGUAGAUAUCGGGAGGAACACCAAAGGCGAAGGCACUCUGCUGGGCCAAUACUAACACUGAGAGACGAAAGCGAGGGGAGCAAAUGGGAUUAGAAACCCGUGUAGUCC
rnacentral:rRNA from 1 species